AGACCCGAAACCCGGUGAUCUAGCCAUGGGCAGGUUGAAGGUUGGGUAACACUAACUGGAGGACCGAACCGACUAAUGUUGAAAAAUUAGCGGAUGACCUGUGGCUGGGGGUGAAAGGCCAAUCAAACCGGGAGAUAGCUGGUUCUCCCCGAAAGCUAUUUAGGUAGCGCCUCGUGAAUUCAUCUCCGGGGGUAGAGCACUGUUUCGGCUAGGGGGCCAUCCCGGCUUACCAACCCGAUGCAAACUGCGAAUACCGGAGAAUGUUAUCACGGGAGACACACGGCGGGUGCUAACGUCCGUCGUGAAGAGGGAAACAACCCAGACCGCCAGCUAAGGUCCCAAAGUCAUGGUUAAGUGGGAAACGAUGUGGGAAGGCCCAGACAGCCAGGAUGUUGGCUUAGAAGCAGCCAUCAUUUAAAGAAAGCGUAAUAGCUCACUGGUCGAGUCGGCCUGCGCGGAAGAUGUAACGGGGCUAAACCAUGCACCGAAGCUGCGGCAGCGACACUCAGGUGUUGUUGGGUAGGGGAGCGUUCUGUAAGCCUGUGAAGGUGGCCUGUGAGGGUUGCUGGAGGUAUCAGAAGUGCGAAUGCUGACAUAAGUAACGAUAAAGCGGGUGAAAAGCCCGCUCGCCGGAAGACCAAGGGUUCCUGUCCAACGUUAAUCGGGGCAGGGUGAGUCGACCCCUAAGGCGAGGCCGAAAGGCGUAGUCGAUGGGAAACGGGUUAAUAUUCCCGUACUUGGUGUUACUGCGAAGGGGGGACGGAGAAGGCUAUGUUGGCCGGGCGACGGUUGUCCCGGUUUAAGCGUGUAGGUGUGUGUUC
rnacentral:rRNA from 1 species